rnacentral:rRNA from 1 species
GACGAACGCUGGCGGCGUGCUUAACACAUGCGAGUCGAACGAUGAUCCCCCGCGUUCGGGGGUGUUUCGUGGCGAACGGGUGAGUAAUACGUGAGUAACCUGCCCUUGACUCUGGGAUAAGCCUGGGAAACCGGGUCUAGUACUGGAUACUACUUCCUGCCGCCCGGUGGGGGGUGGAAUGGGUUUUACUGUUUUUGGGUGUGCUCACUGCCUAUCAGCUUGUUGGUGGAGUAAUGGCUAUCCAAGGCGACGACGGGUAGCCGGACUGAGAGGGUGACAGGCGACACUGGGACUGAGAGAAGGCAGAGACAGCGAAGGGAGGCAGCAGUGGGGAAUAUUGCACAAGGGGCGGCAGCCUGAUGAUGCGAGGCCGCGUGAGGGAUGACGGCCUUAGGGUUGAAGAACUCAUUCAGCAGGAAAGAAGCCACAAGUGACGGUACCUGAAGAAGAAGCGCCGGCUAACUACGUG